rnacentral:lncRNA from 1 species
GUUAAAGAAGUUGUCUUAUAUACAUAGAAAUGGUAUAAUAAGCUACUUUAAACAACCCUGGAUAUGUUUCUUUUCCCUUCCUGUCACUGUCCUCUUUCUUCCCUUUUCCCUUUUGAUUAAGAAGUUCCAUCAGAAAAGUCAUAAAAUCUAACUCCUGUUUAUUCUCGAGCUAUCAGCUAAAAUGUCACUUUCUCAGGAAAUCCUGCCUGACCCCCCUUUCCCCUUUGUUCUGGCACCCAUUCCCCUGGCCUUUAAAUGCUUUCAUAGCAGUGUGUACCUAUCUAUCAUUUUUUACAGUUUGUAAUUACGGCUUUUUUUUUUUUUUUUUUUUUGAGAUGGAGUCUCGCUUUGUCGCCCAGGCUGGAGUGCGUGGUGCGAUCUUGGCUUACUACAACCUCUGCCUCCCAGGUUCAAGCAAUUUUCCUGCCUCAGCCCCCCCAAGUAGCUGGGACUACAGGUGCGCACCACCACGCCUGGCUAAUUUUUGUAUUUUUAGUAGAGGCGGAGUUUCAUCAUGUUGGCCAGGCUGGUCUCAAACUCCUGACCUCAGGUGACCCACCUGCCUUGGCCUCCCAAAGUGCUGGGAUUACAGGCGUGAGCCACCGUGCCCGGCUUCCUGUAAUUAUGUAUUAAAAUGUAUAAUUACUUGAUUAAUAGCUAUCUUCCCAACUAGACCAAAAACUCCAUAGAAUGUAUGGAAUUUUCCUCCAUCAUCCUUGUAGUCCAAGCAUAAUAUUUAUUAAAUGAGUAAAUGAGUGAAUUAACUAGCCAUUUUGAUUAAUUUUCUCUUUUUAGUGCAGUUUUGGUUUAGGACUGUAAGGAGUCAUACUGGCCAUAUUCAGAAUGUCACAUUAGUGUUUUAAGUCCAUUCUGUAUUUUUUUCAAUGAGUUUCAGCAAAAUCUGAGAGUGUCUUAAGUGAAAUUGGUUAUAUCUAGGGUGGAGGUAUUAUAUUUGGAAAGACUUGUAACAGUAGAAAGCUUUUUAUUUAAAUCUUUGAGUUUUAAAAUAUUUUUAUUAUGAAGUUAUUUAUGAUUUUAUAGGUAAUAUUUUUAAUGAGACCUUGAAAAAUUUAUAGAGUGCAGUUUAUUACAGAAUCUGAGUUGCCUAAUAGUUUUUAAUAGUUUUUGAGUAUCAGUAUUUUGAUUAAUUUUAAGUUAGGGAUCAUUUCCUCUAAUUCUUUGAACAUAAUUAUUUGUUGGUUGAUUUUUUUUUUUAAUGUAACAGUGUUUUUGAGAUGUAAUUUAUGUACCAUACGGUUCUUCUACUUUAGGGUAUUAGAUUCAUGGAUUUUUUGUACAUUCACAGAUGUGACCGUCAUUGCAGUCAAUUUUAGAACAUUUUCAUAAUCUCAAAAGGAAAACUGUAGCCUUUGGCUAUUAUCCACUUAUUCUUCCAUCCCUGAGCAACCACUAAACUACUUUUGGUGUGUAUAGAUUUGCCUAUUUAAGACAUUUUCUAUAAAUGGAAUCAUAUAAUUUAUGGCCUUUUGUGAUUGGCUUCCAUUUAGGAUGUUGUUUUCAAAGUUUAUAUUGUAUCAUGUAUCAGUACUACAUCCUUCUUAUUGCUGGUAAGUAUUCUGUUGUAUCGAUAUACCACAUUAUGUUUAGCCGUUUAUUAGUACAGUGGUCCCCAACCUUUUUGGCACCAAGGACUGACUUUGUGCAAGGCAGUUUUUCCAUGGAUGGGGUGUGAUGGGGGAGGAUGGUUUCAGAAUGAAAUUGUUCCAUUUCAGAUCAUCAGGCAUUAGAUUCUUAUAAGGAACAAAACCAAAACAGCAACAACAACAGUGAUUCUCAUAAGGAGCACCCAACCUAGAUCCCUUGCAUGUGCAGUUCAUAGUAGGUUGGUGCUCCUAUGAGAGUCUAAUGCCUAUGCUGAUCUGACAGGAGGCAGAGCUCAGGCAGUAAUGCUUGCUAACCCACCGCCACUCACCUCCUGCUGUGCAUCUCAGUUCCUUACAGGAACCAGUACUGGUCUGUGGCCUGGGGGUUUGGGAUCCCUGCAUUAGUUGAUAGACAUUUGGAUUAUAUCCACUUAUUGGCUAUUAUGAAUAAUGCUGCUAUAAUAAACAUUCAUACAAGUUUUUUGUGGACAUGGUUUCAUUUCUUGGGUAUAUGUCCAGCAGUGGAAUUUCUGGGUCAUUUGCUAACUAUGAUUUCGUUAUUGGAGAAACUGCCAGAUUUUUUGUUGAUUUUUUUUUUUUUCUGUUAUUAUGUAGUGUCAAGAAACCGUUUAAUGCAUAUGAAUUGAAGCCCUGUAAGGAAAGUGAUCAUUUGGGAUUAGAUCGCAAAUUGCUUGACUUCAAAUGUAUUACUUUGAGAAUUUUCUGUGACAGUUUAGCUAGUCCUUUAUCUUCCUUAUUUUUCUUGAGAAUACAUGAAUUAGCUCCCUGCCUUCAUAUUUGAAGAUACAUACCUAUCAGUGUACAGACAUGUACACACAUAGGUACACAUAUAAUACUUUGCUAAGCAGUUUGUGCUGGGGACAAUAGUUGAAACUCGGUGUUUUUUCCUAAAAUUUAUAUCGUUUGUUUAUAUAUGAAAUAUCAAAUGGGAGAUAUUUUUGGAAGCAGUGAAACUUGUUUAUGAAUUCUUUCCUUACACAAAAGAAGACAGGUUUUUUAAAAACAAAUUAAUCUUUUUCUCUUUGUUUCUUUCAGCAUUGAUGACUGGGAAGUGAGAGACAUAGAUUUUUGAAAAGCUGAAAAUAACUUCUAGUUUAACAAAAUAGUUUCUUCCAGAGCUUAGAAUUUCAGAUGAUUGGAAAAUUCAUACAUCUAGGUCUGAAAGUUUAAGUCUUUCGCAUCUAUGGAGAUCUCUAUUUUCUACAACCUAAAAUGCUAUGAUGGGUGACAGGUUAAAGACAAACCUUUUUAAAAAAUGUAUAUUUUUAUUGCUAUAUAGUGGUAUUAUGGCUUUUGAAAUUCCUAUUUUUACCAUAAACAGAUUAUUAGGUGCUUACUGAUUCCAGAUAAUAGCCUAAUCUAUUAGAAGGUAGAAGAGAGAAUCUCUGGUGAUACACUGUCCAUACAUGGUUCAAUAGGAGGUAGCAAAGGCUAAGUAUGAGUAAGUGACAAAAGCAGUAAAUGCUGCAGAACUGAAAUUCAGAGAAUUGCGCUUCCACUGUUGGGUAAGGCUUAAGGGGAGACUUUGAAAGAGGAAGAUGAGCUAUGCCUUCCUUUGGGUACUGAUUUAAUUUCUUUUGCCAUUUUUUUGCAUUUCUUGAAUGUAGGAAUUUAUCCUUACCCAUGUGCAUAUUCAUCAGCUCCAAUUUAGGAGAUUGACUAGUGUAGCACGUCAUAACCAGAAAGAUACUUGGAGGUAGACUUUUCCCUAAAGUUUAUACAAGACACUUAAUGGGCUGGGUCCUUGAUCAUGUACUUCUUUCUUAGACUUUGUGUAUAUGAAGUGGUGUUCUUAUCCUUAUUUCUUUCCACAUUCACCCUUUUUAAUGCUUUUAGUAAGUCUUUUCAGUUUUUGUUAAGAUUUAUUUUAUAGUUACACUAUUGUAUUUAUUGAAGGUAGCUUGGCUGAUACUGUUCCAAAGUCACUUGCCACUUUCCUCUCUGCAUAAUUAACAUUUAUUCUCCUCAUUAUUUGUCAAUGAAUUCCCUUCUGUUUAUUUAUAGUUUCUUUAUGAUUCUGCAUAUCAGAAGAUAACAAGCACUUAUCACAAAUGCAUUUAGGGGAUGUACUACUCUGUAAAAAAUUUAAAUAUAUUGAAAAUAGAACUCUUUGAAUUUUAUUUUACUCUUUUGAGGAAAUGAAGAUAUCUUGAUUUUUUUUAUGGUAUUCUAACCUGCUUUUCCGGGGCAUACAGGGCAGCACUUAUUUUUAUAUAAAUCUGAGAAUGUGUGAAUUGCAAAUUAAUCUUCUGGCAGAUAUCUAAUGCUGUUGAUAGAGAUGUGUUGCCCUAAGAUUUAUUGGAUUUAAUGAGACAGUCUUUUGAUAUAUCCUUGAAUUAUGAUGGGAUAUUGGGUUGCCACAUGUAAGUUUUAGAAUAUUUUUUAAUGAUAUAGAGAAAAUGCUUCAGAUACAAUGGCAUGUAAAAGAGAAAACAGCAAAAAAACCCUGAUUUUAAAACGGUUUGAUUCAAUUUAUAUUUUAAAAACACAGACACAUGAUUUGUAUGCCUGUGUAUAUAGAAAAGAUUGCAAGGAUAUUUACCAAAAUAUUAAGUGAUUAUCUCUGGGUUGUAGUAAUUGGGGUGAUUUUUAUUUUUUAAGUGCCUUUUCUUUGGGUAUUGCCUGAAAUGUUAAAUAUUAUCUCAUUUUAGCAAAUAAUAAAUACUACUUUUAACUAAGAAAAAAUAG